GGACCCGCACAAGCAGCGGAGCAUGUGGUUUAAUUCGAAGCAACGCGAAGAACCUUACCAAGGCUUGACAUCGCAUGCAUAGUAUGGAAACAUACGAAAUCGUAGCAAUACGACGUGCAGACAGGUGGUGCAUGGUUGUCGUCAGCUCGUGUCGUGAGAUGUUGGGUUAAGUCCCGCAACGAGCGCAACCCUUAUGAACAGUUGCCAAUAUUAAGUUAGGAACUCUGUUCAGACUGCCGUGGAUAACACGGAGGAAGGUGGGGAUGACGUCAAAUCAUCACGCCCCUUAUGUCUUGGGCUACACACGUGCUACAAUGGCUGAUACAGAGAGCAGCGAAGCAGUGAUGCGGAGCGAAUCUCAAAAAAUCAGUCUCAGUUCGGAUUGUGGGCUGCAACCCGCCCACAUGAAGAAGGAGUUGCUAGUAAUCGCGAAUCAGCAUGUCGCGGUGAAUGCGUUCCCGGGUCUU
rnacentral:rRNA from 1 species